CACAAGCAAAUAAUAUAACAUAUGAUAUAAAUAUAUGUAAAACUAAAUGGUAUGUGUAAUAAGUAUGAGAGCAGAGAUGCAUCUAUUUUGUCUAUUUGUAGAAAAACAAAAUAAAAACAAAUGAUCAUGCGAGAAAUUCUGGAACAACUACUUAAGAAAAAAUACCUUUGUAAUAAUAACGUGGGCGUAAAUAUUAUAAGAUAUGAGUAAAAAAAUUAAUAACGCAAGUUUUAUAUAUUCUUUUUUAUAUUUUUUAUUAAAUUUUAUUUCAUCCAAAUUUUAAUCAGAAUUAUUACAAUUAUUAUUCGUUAGUUUUAAAUCAUCUUCAGCGAUACUUAUUUUUAUCUUGAUGAAUUGAUUAAUCGACAAAAUUAUCGCAUUUGGGAUUAAAAAAAUCCAUAAAUGAUUGUUGAGAAACAAAUGCAUCCAUAUGAACUAUUUUUGAACUAUUUUUUUUUUGAAAAUGUGGUUAGUUAGAUAAUAACAGUUAAUGGUGCCCGCUAUUUCGACAUGAUAAUCCAGUUUUUUUUAUGCCUAAAUUGUAAAAUAUGGACAACAUGUGGUUUCAAUAAGACAAUGCCAUAUUCCAUAUAAUCCGAAAAAUAAUUCAAUUACUACAUGAAUCAUUUCAUGAUCGUGUAAUUUCCCAUUUUGGUGAUCAAAAUUGACCUAGAUUGUAUGAUUUAAUAUCAUUAAAUUUUUUUUUGGGAUUUUUUAAAAGGUUUUUCUAAUGUUUAUGCCGAAAAGCUUACGAUCAGGUGAUAAUGAAAAUGAUGCUGCAGAUGAGAUUUGUAUUGUUUACAGGAAUGAUGCUAUAACUAUUAUGACCAUUUAUAAUUGGUUUAAGAGAUAGAACUUUUGAAUUUUGAAAAAUGAAGGACCCUAUAGCCCCCCAGCAACGAUAAAUACGGAUCUUAUUAAGGCUCGCUGAAAAUCCGCGAUACAGCGUGUAAGAGAUAAUGGAUGCCAUUAAUAUUUCCAGGAAAAUAAUAGAUAGUCAUCUGACCAAGAUGGGAUAUGUGAAUCAAUAUGAAAUUUGAGUUCCACAGCAACUAUUGACGAAAAUCGACUUUAUGAACCGCAUCUCUACGUGCGAUUUCCUUCUUCAGAGACAUGAAAGAGAUCCUUUUUUAAAGAGGCUUAUCACUGGAGAGUAGACUUGGAUUUUAUAUCAAAAUGCAUCAAAAAUGUACUUGAUUUAAGUAAACCUUCAACUAUCGCGAAGCCUAGACUUCAUCUGAAGAAAGUUCUUUUAUUCAUUUAUUGGGAUUGGAAAGGGCAUUGAUCAUCGGUAUUGUUUCCCGACCAUCUAUGAUUAUAAGAAGCACUUCGCCAUCUGAUAUAUUCUCAAUUUAUCCUUUUGGAAUAAGAUGAUAGGCUGUUUCUUCAACGCGAAGAGAAGUGGUUCUAAAAAUAUAUUGAAACACAGCAGGAUAAAGGAUUUCUACUUUACUCCAUGAAACAAACUGGACAAUUGACUUAUCGUAUUGCAUAUGAGUUUACAUAUCUUGGUCACUGACUGUACUGCUUGUGAAUGUCUUUUUCGUAGAAUAACAUAUGAAAUGUUUUUCUAAUAUCCAAUUGCAUUACAAUCAAACCUUCUUGGACUUUACUUUGUAAGAUUUCGGUCAGGAUGUGCAUAUUAUUAUAACAUCUUUUUUUCUGAUGUAAAACUCUUUUGAUAAGAGAUACUAUGUCUUAAAUUUUGUAUCGAUUAUAUAUAAAUCCAAUAUAAUCAAUAUAACAGAGAAUUGAUUAUGAGAGGAAUAUAAUUCUCGCAUUCAUUAUUUAAGAAAUAUUCGUUCUUUUUAAGAAAUAAGAAAUAAGUGCGAUUUCAAAAAAUAGGCUGCAAUUCAGUAAUUAUUAAAAGAUUAUACUUUCUAAAAAUAUUUACUAUUUCAUAAGAUAGUUGACAUUUUUUGAUCUCGUCAAGGCUAGGAACAAUGUCCAUUUUGAUUUUGAAUGAUCCGAUUUAGAUGAGCGUGAGAAAAAAUCAUUGAGAAAAAAAUAUUUCUCCAAAUCAUUCAAGUUAGACAGAUUUCUUUUAUAACUCUCAUACAUUUGCCUUACGUUGACUUGAAGAAAAAAUUUUUCUUGUACUCACUGCAAAUUUAAAAAAAACAUUUAAACAUUUAACAAGAAGGCCUCGAUUUUUCUUUAAAAAUUGUAGGUUUUAUAUAAAAGAGAUAUUGCUGAUAAAUCUUUCGCAAUCCUCUUCUUUUGGUCCUUCUCUGCCGGUAGAUACAAUAUCAGUUGGUAAUAUAUGAUCAAUUUUUUUCAAUACGAUGCUAUCCAUCUAUUGGUACCUAUCCAGAUGAUGGAUAAUUAAAUUAAAAUAAAUCCUUCCAUGAAUUUAAAAAAUUUUAAUAUCAUAAUUUCAAAAAAGAGUAUUACAAAAUUGGCAAAAGAAGAGGCAAAAAAAAAUUCUUGUCUCAAACUAAUUCUUACUGGCUUGUCAGUGAAAGAAAUAUUGAAAAAUCAAGGAA
rnacentral:lncRNA from 1 species